GACGAACGCUGGCGGCGUGCUUAACACAUGCAAGUCGAGCGGUAAGGCCCUUUCGGGGGUACACGAGCGGCGAACGGGUGAGUAACACGUGGGUGACCUGCCCUCAGCUCUGGGAUAAGCCUGGGAAACUGGGUCUAAUACCGGAUAUGACUCCAUGACGCAUGUUGUGGGGUGGAAAGCCUUGUGCGGCUGAGGAUGGGCCCGCGGCCUAUCAGCUUGUUAGUGGGGGAUGGCCUACCAAGGCGACGACGGGUAGCCGGCCUGAGAGGGCGACCGGCCACACUGGGACUGAGACACGGCCCAGACUCCUACGGGAGGCAGCAGUGGGGAAUCUUGCGCAAUGGGCGAAAGCCUGACGCAGCGACGCCGCGUGAGGGAUGACGGCCU
rnacentral:rRNA from 1 species